rnacentral:rRNA from 1 species
AGUGAACGCUGGCGGUAGGCCUAACACAUGCAAGUCGAACGGCAGCACAGGAGAGCUUGCUCUCUGGGUGGCGAGUGGCGGACGGGUGAGGAAUACAUCGGAAUCUGCCCAGUCGUGGGGGAUAACGUAGGGAAACUUACGCUAAUACCGCAUACGACCUUCGGGUGAAAGAGGGGGAUCGCAAGACCUCUCGCGAUUGGAUGAGCCGAUGUCGGAUUAGCUAGUUGGCGGGGUAAUGGCCCACCAAGGCGACGAUCCGUAGCUGGUCUGAGAGGAUGAUCAGCCACACUGGAACUGAGACACGGUCCAGACUCCUACGGGAGGCAGCAGUGGGGAAUAUUGGACAAUGGGCGCAAGCCCGAUCCAGCCAUACCGCGUGGGUGAAGAAGGCCUUCGGGUUGUAAAGCCCUUUUGUUGGGAAAGAAAUCUUUCAGGCUAAUACCCUGGGAGGAUGACGGUACCCAAAGAAUAAGCACCGGCUAACUUCGUG